AUGAUGAAACAUGUCUACAUUUUCUUGGUACUCUUUGCCUUAUGCUUAGGUAAAGUAUCUAUGACAUGGUGUCACAACACAUAUCUAAGAAGGCACAAGCAAUUAGAAAAGGGGGCAUCGUCCAGUGAGAGAAUAAUAUCGAUUGAGGCUGAAUUGCAAGAGGGCCAAAUAGUCGAACAUAUUGCAGCUUACCAAACAACACCAAAUUCUACAACAACAUUGUACGGUGCCAUGGCAACUUUAGAUGUUUAUGAGUCUCUGGCUGUCAAGGCGGGACAAAUAGUAUCAGCUGAAAUCUGGGUAGAGAAUUACCAAAAGGAGAAGCCUAAUGAUGUCAAUGUUGUACAAGUUGGAUGGAAUAUUCAACCUUCUUACUAUGGUGACAACAAAACACAUUUCUUGAUAGGAUGGACGGCUAAUGGAAACAAGACGAAGGGGUGUUUUGAUUUGAAAUGCGAUGGAUUUGUACUAGUUAAAAAUCCUCCAAUCACUCCAGGAGGCACCCUUGAGGGGAAAACUAAGAUAUCUAUCAAGAUAUUCAAGAGUAAAAGGAAUGGAGAUUGGUGGUUACACUUUGCCCAUGUUGGUGAAAAGUUUGCUCCGGUGGGGUUUUGGCCACGGAGUCUUUUCCAAAGCUUGUCCGAUCAUGCAAAUUAUGUUACUUGGGGCGGCUACACUAGCUCUCUUGUGAGGACCCCCAGCCCUCCUAUGGGCAAUGGGCGCUGGCCGGGAGGAGACUCUGCUUCAUUUCAAAAUGUGCAAUAUGUGAACAAUGACGGGCAUGGUUAUCUUCCAAUGCCUAACCUUCAUUCUAGGGUAACCGAUACGGCAUGUUAUCGAGUUAGUGAAUUCAUGACUGACAAGUUCAGCUAUGGAGGACCUGGUGGAUGUGUUAAUUAG
rnacentral:rRNA from 1 species